rnacentral:lncRNA from 1 species
UGGAUAGUUUAAUUCAAUAUUUAUCUAUAUAAUUUAUUUAUUUUUGACUGUAUAAAUAAAAAUGAAUAAUAUAGAGAUUGAAGGCGGAAGAAAAAACAUGUGAGACUGAAAAAAUUAGAUAUUCAACUCAUAAAUUAUUUUUUUCAUAUUAGAAUACUAUAUUUCAUAUAAUUAUUUUGUACUUUAAAUUAUUAGACAUAUUUUUGUAUUAAAUUAUAAAUAAUGUUCUAUACAAAUUAAACUAUUGAUCGUAUAAUGUUGAGAAUUUCAAGCGGCUCGUUUAGAGCUCGAGCUCGCUCGACUUGAAAUUAGGCUCGCUUGAGCUUGGCUCGAAUUAAUUUCAAUCCAAGCUUGAGCUUAAAUUUAGGCUCGAAAUUAAUUUCAAGCCGAAUUUGACCGAGGUAAGCUCGCUCGAGCUCGGCUCGUUUCCACCCCUACAUAGUACAUAUAUUUUCUUUAUAUAAAAAUAAAAUAAAAUAAAAUAUACCCAUAUGAAUAAAUAAUAUAUAUUAUAUAUAACAUUAA